rnacentral:rRNA from 1 species
AGGACGAACGCUGGCGGCGUGCUUAACACAUGCAAGUCGAACGGGCUGAAGUGGUAGCUUGCUAUUAUGGAUGCUAGUGGCAAACGGGUGAGUAACGCGUAGGCAACCUGCCCUUCAGAUGGGGGACAACACUUCGAAAGAGGUGCUAAUACCGAAUGACGUAUCCAUUCCGCAUGGAGAGGAUACCAAAGGCCGGGCAACCGGUCACUGAAGGAUGGGCCCGCGGCGCAUUAGCUAGUUGGUGAGGUAACGGCUCACCAAGGCGACGAUGCGUAGCCGACCUGAGAGGGUGAUCGGCCACAUUGGGACUGAGACACGGCCCAGACUCCUACGGGAGGCAGCAGGUGGGGAAUAUUGCACAAUGGGGGAAACCCUGAUGCAGCAACGCCGCGUGAGUGAUGACGGCCUUCGGGUUGUAAAGCUCUGUCUUCAGGGACGAUAAUGACGGUACCUGAGGAGGAAGCCACGGCUAACUACGUG